CCCCCACUCUGUCUCUCUGUCUCCCAAAAAUAAACACUUAAAUUAAAAAAAUAAAUAAAAACUAAACUACACUUUAGUCUAUAUUGUUUUUGGAUUUUGCCUUGCAGGCAACUGCCCCCAUUCAUGAUGCUCCCCCCUUAUUUGCUUGUUAGACAUCAUCUCUAAAUUCUAGGUUCCAUUCCAUGUUCCAUUAUUCUUCUGGAGCCAUCUCUUUGAGGUCCUCUGUUCUUCAGUUCUAAGGGUGUGACCCAGGCAUCCCAGCAGGGAGACAGUUGGUGUUAAGUUGAAUGUGAGUAGUAUUUCAGAAAGAAUCCAGAACAUGUAGAAGUUAUGUUUGCAGGGAGAUUCUUAGGUUGAGAUCUUAGGGAGAUUCUAGCAAUAUGGCAAAGGUAAAGGAAUAUAGAGUGCCAACAGUACCCUUCUUCCUACAAACACAUGGAAACAUAAGAUAAAAUAUAAUAAUAACAGCAGAAAAUGAAUACAUGGCCGAGUUUGAAAUAAAGGAAAGGAAAUCCCCAGCUUCCAGAAGUGAAGAAGAGUAUCAAAGUAGAAACGACAGUGAGCACAGAUAUUUCAGAAGUGGGUAUUGCUCUCAGGCAUUUGGCCAGGACUCUGAUAUUUACAUAGCAACAGGAAAAUGAACAGAAAAACACACUAUGGCCCCUACAGAAAUAGGCCAGGGGUUCAGAUAGGUGGGCAUUUAAUAAGAUGGGAGGGGGUAGAGAGAGACCUUACUUACAGCCCAGGAAAACAACAACAAAGUUUAUACUCUGACCCCAACAUUGGUGAGAAAUAAAGUGUUGUUUCUCAGAGAAACAAAAGCCCUAGACAUGAACCACGCAUAGGGAAGGAGCCUAAACUUAUUCUAGUGGCAUUUGGGGAGAAUCUCCAAGUAUAUCAGUCAGCAUAGGCUAGGUAAUGCUUCAGUAACAGACAAUCCCCAAAUCUCAGUGGCACCUGGGACAACCAGUGUCUAUUUAUUGCUCAAAUUGCCUGCCCACUGCAGGUUGGCAGAAGCCUCUGCCUUUCUUGGCCCACCAAGGACCCAUGCUGAUAGAGGCUCCUUUUCAGUGUGUCACUAAAGGAGGAAAGGGGAGCCUGACAAGUCCUGCUGUGGCUCUCCAAGCUUCUGCAUGCAGUGGUAGUUCAGUUAAAAGUCAGCACAACACUGUGCUCAACUUCAAAAGGGACAAAGGAGGUGCAAGCCAUCAAUGUGCCUAGAAAAGAAGUAGACUAUUUGUGGGACAAUACCAAUGACAAGCAACACAAACCUAUAAAUUCACUUAGAAAUGAUCAGGAACACCAGAAUCCCUCAAGCAGGUUUUUCAACUGAGGAGAGAAAUGAUCCACUAGGAUAUAAGUCUUAGGAAAUCUCACAAUCUGAGGAGAGAUAGAAAAGAAAAGAUGAAAAGAAAAGAAAAGAAAAGAAAAGAAGAGAAAGAAAGAAAGAAAGAAAGAAAGAAAGAAAGAAAAAAGGAAACAUCAAAAGGCAAUUCAGAGGCAGCAUAAAACAGCCGAGGACAUCAAUAUCUAAUAGGUACUCCACAAGACAAGACUAGUAAUAAUUGGGAGAAGACAAUAAGAGGAGAUAUAGCAAAUGAGAAUUUUUCUAAAAUUGAAGACAGACCUGAGCCUUCAAGUUGAAACACCACACAAAAUCCCAAGCAAAAUUUAGAGGAAAAAAAUCCACACAUAGGCCCACUGUCGGGAAACUUCAAAACAUCAGAUGUCGAAAGCAAAUCUUUACCACAGCCAGAGAGUAAGGACAGGUUAUCUAAAAAGAAAAGAAAACUUGACAGCAGCAUACUUUUACAAGUCAAGAAGUCUGAAAACAAUGGAAUAAUAUCUUCGAAAUCCUGGGGGAAAGAUCACUUUCAACCAAUAUUUCGUUAACUGGCAAAAUCUUCACUUAAGGGUGAGGGCCAACAGAAGACAUGUUCAAAUAAAGUAAAGAGAAUUUCACAUUUACAGAACUUUGGCUGAAAGAACUAGUAACAAUGUAUGAAAUGAAUCACAACCAAGUGAUUUAUUCCAGGUAUGCAAGGCCAUUGCAACAUUUGAGGUUCAGUCGAUGUAAGGUACCAUAUCGAUAGGCUAAAGAAGAAAAAUCGUAUGAUCAUACCAAUUGACACAGAAAAAGCAUUUGAAAAAAAUCUAGUACCCAUUCAUUAUUUCAAAAAAUAAAUCAAAACUCUCAGCAAACUAGGAAUAGAGGGAAACUGUCUCACCUCAUAAAGACCGUCUGCAAAAACCUACCAGCUAACAUCAUACUUAAUGGUGAAAGAUUGAAUGUUUUCCCUCUAGGAUUGGGAACAAGGAAAGAAUGUCUAAUGUCACCACUCUUAAUCAACAUAAUUCUGGAAGUUCUAGCCCAUGCAAUAGAUAAGAAAAAGAAACACAAGCCAUGCGACUUAGAAAGGAGAAAUAAACUGCCUCUGUUUCCAGAUGACAUUAUGUAAUAGAAAAUCUGAAAGAAUGUAAAAAAAAAAAAAAAAAGCAAAUAAAACACUUCAUAGAAGUAAUAAGUGAGUUAGCAAGGUCACAGCAUACAAGAUCAACACACAAAAUCAAUUGCAUUUCUGUGUUCUAACAGCAAACAAAUGGAAGGCAAAAUGAAAAACACAAGACCGUUUACAACCGCUCCAGAGAAAAUGAAACAAUUACAAAUCUAGUAAAACAUGUAUGCUGAAAAUUGCAAUGUAUUGAUGAGAGAAACCAGAGACCUAAGAGUUGAAGAGACAUACUGCUUUCAUACAUUGGAAGAUUCAGUUCUCCCCCCAAAUUGAUCCCUUGGUUUAACACAAUUUCUAUCAAAAUCACAGCAAGAUUUUUUUUAGCAGAUUCAAAAAUGUAUAUUAAAAAGGUAAAGGAGCUAGAAUAACUAAAACAGUUUUGGCCAAGAAGAAUAAAGAGGGAGGAAUCAGUUUACCGAUUUCAAGUCUUUACCUUAUUUUAAGUCUUACCGUAGAACUACAGCAAUCAAGAUUGUGUGGGAUUGGCAGAGAGAUAGACACAAAGAUCAAUGAAAUAGAAUAGAGACUCCAGAAAUACACCCACACAGUUAUGCCCAACUGAUACUGAUCAAACUGCAAAGGCAAUGCAGUGGAGGAAAGACAGUUUUUCCAACAAGUCAUGUUGGGGCAAUUGGACAUCCACAGGCAAAACCCAGGACUUUAACCUAAGUCUUGCUCCUUAUACAAAAUGUACUUGAAAUAGAUCACGGACUUAAAUGUAAAAUGUAAAAUGUAAAAUUAUGAAGCCGUUAGGAAAAAGAGGAAAGAGUAUUCAGAACCUCAAAUUUUGUGAAGAGUUGUUAGCCAUCACACCAAAAGCAUGGUCCAUGAAAGCAGGAGUUGAUAAAAUAGACUGCCUCCU